GUUAAGUAAGUGAUGGUUCACUAGUGACUUUUGGUCACAUAUAAGAAGUGAGCGAACAUCAUUUUAAUAUGUCGUAACAAAACAAAAGAACAACAAAAGAAAACAUAGAAAGAGAAGAGUGUGGAUUCCUUGUCCAUCAAAGGAAUCAUAAGAGAGAAAGGUCAAAGGAAGGAGAAAAUCAAUUUGAAGACUUGGAUCCAUCAUCAAGCAUAACCAAGCAAUGGAUCAAGAACACAACAUACAACAAAAGGAUCAUUGCAAUGGAUGUGCUAACAAGUAGUAAUAAAUGGACGUUGGGCAUGACAAGAUUGGUUGGAAGAUGGAGUUGUCUUGUGUAAUGUGUUGUCUCUUGUCAUCUCUACUGUCUUUUGUUUUGUGUUUUACAUACUAUAUCAAUUGAACAUUUCCAGUUGUACGUACGUAAAUAUAUAGUAGCAUAAAAUUCACACAUGCAUUUUUUUUCUUAGAAACAAUAUUGGAAAAUUUAAAAUC